rnacentral:rRNA from 1 species
AACGAACGUUAGCGGUGUGGAUUAGGCAUGCAAGUCGAGCGCGAAAGCCCGCAAGGGUGAGUAAAGCGGCGAAAGGGUGAGUAAUACGUAAUCAACUUACCCCUGAGACCGGAAUAACCGACGGAAACGUUGGCUAAUGCCGGAUGGCCCCUCUGGGAGGCAUCUCCUGGUUGGUAAACGGUGGCGCAAGCUGCUGCUCGGGGAGGGGUUAGUGGGAUAUCAGCUAGUUGGUGGGGUAAUGGCCACCAAGGCGAUGACGUCUAGCCGGUCUGAGAGGAUGGUCGGCACAUUGGGACUGAGACACUGCCCAAACUCCUACGGGAGGCUGCAGUCGAGGAUCUUCCGCAAUGGGCG